AUUCAGAAUUACAUUUUAUCGUUUUCACAUUGAAAACAGCAAAUGUUGACUUAGUAAUUUUUAUAUCGAUAUCUAUAUGUAUAUGUAUAUUUAAUCAACCAGCAGUUUUGAAACUAGUCAUCCUGGUACAAAAGUUUUGCAGCAUUGCCUAAAUUAUAGUGCUCAACACAAGAACUGUUUUUGGGGCCAGUUUAGCAUUUGUGCCGCCUCCUUUUGCUACUCAAAACAGCAAUGCUUGGCGGCAGCCUUCCAUGAGGCAGAAGGGGUCGUCGUUCUCUGAAAACAGUGACUCUGAAAUGUUGGGACAGGGGAAGGGGUGGGAAACAUGAACAUGCUCAAAUAACUCGAGGCUCACAAAGCUUCCAUUCUGCUGUCCUCAGCCUCGACCCUCUUCUGUGCUGGACUUCCACCCACCCACCCUUUUCAAGUUUAGAUAGUGUUUCAGCUGCUGUCCCAAAGUAACAAAACAA
rnacentral:lncRNA from 10 species